AACGAACGCUGGCGGCGCGUCUUAAGCAUGCAAGUCGAACGGUAAGGGAGAGCUUGCUCUCCCCUAGAGUGGCGGACUGGUGAGUAACGCGUGGGUGACCUGCCCUGAAGAUGGGGAUAGCUAGUAGAAAUAUUAGAUAAUACCGAAUGUGCUCAUUUACAUAAAGGUAAAUGAGGAAAGGAGCUACGGCUCCGCUUCAGGAUGGGCCCGCGUCCCAUUAGCUGGUUGGUGAGGUAAAGGCUCACCAAGGCAACGAUGGGUAUCCGGCCUGAGAGGGUGAACGGACACAUUGGGACUGAGAUACGGCCCAAACUCCUACGGGAGGCAGCAGCUAAGAAUCUUCCGCAAUGGACGAAAGUCUGACGGAGCGACGCCGUGUGAAUGAAGAAGGCCGAAAGGUUGUAAAAUUCUUUUGCAGAUGAAGAAUAAGAAGAGAAUGCUUCUUUGAUGACGGUAAUCAUGCGAAUAAGCCCCGGCUAAUUACGUGCCAGCAGCCGCGGUAACACGUAAGGGGCGAGCGUUGUUCGGAAUUAUUGGGCGUAAAGGGUAUGUAGGCGGUUAGGUAAGCCUGGUGUGAAAUCUACGAGCUCAACUCGUAAACUGCAUUGGGUACUGCUUGACUUGAAUCACGGAGGGGAAACCGGAAUUCCAAGUGUAGGGGUGGAAUCUGUAGAUAUUUGGAAGAACACCGGUGGCGAAGGCGGGUUUCUGCCGAUGAUUGACGCUGAUAUACGAAGGUGCGGGGAGCAAACAGGAUUAGAUACCCUGUAGUCCGCACAGUAAACGAUGUACACUAGGUGUCGGGGCAAGAGCUUCGGUGCCGACGCAAACGCAUUAAGUGUACCGCCUGGGAAGUAUGCCCGCAAGGGUGAAACUCAAAGGAAUUGACGGGGGCCCACACAAAGCGGUGGAGCAUGUGGUUUAAUUCGAUGAUACGCGAGAAACCUUACCUGGGUUUGACAUCAAGAGCAAUGACAUAGAGAUA
rnacentral:rRNA from 1 species